rnacentral:rRNA from 1 species
CCUACGGGGGGCAGCAGUGGGGAAUAUUGCACAAUGGGGGAAACCCUGAUGCAGCGACGCCGCGUGAGUGAAGAAGCGUUUCGGCGCGUAAAGCUCUGUCAGCGGGGACGAAACAAAUGACGGUACCGAAUGAAUAAGCCACGGCUAACUACGUGCCAGCAGCCGCGGUAAUACGUAGGUGGCAAGCGUUAUCCGGAUUUACUGGGUGUAAAGGGCGUGUAGGCGGGAGAGCAAGUCAGACGUGAAAUUCCAGGGCUCAACCCUGGAACUGCGUUUGAAACUGUUCUUCUUGAGUGAUGGAGAGGCAGGCGGAAUUCCGUGUGUAGCGGUGAAAUGCGUAGAUAUACGGAGGAACACCAGUGGCGAAGGCGGCCUGCUGGACAUUAACUGACGCUGAGGCGCGAAAGCGUGGGGAGCAAACAGGAUUAGAUACCCUAGUAGUC